GUUAAAAAGCUCGUAGUUGGACUUCUGGUUUGGGGUGGUGGUCCGCCUAACGGUGUGCACUGUUGCCUUGAGCCUUCUUCCUGUAGUCCGUUUGUGCACUUAAUUGUGUGCUCUUGGAAUAUGGGACCUUUACUUUGAAAAAAUUAGAGUGUUCAAAGCAGGCCUUCGCUUGAAUACAUUAGCAUGGAAUAAUAGAAUAGGACUUUGGUUCUAUUUUGUUGGUUUCUAGGACCGAAGUAAUGAUUAAUAGGGACGGUUGGGGGCAUUAGUAUUUAAUUGUCAGAGGUGAAAUUCUUGGAUUUAUGAAAGACUAACUACUGCGAAAGCAUUUGCCAAGGAUGUUUUCAUUAAUCAAGAACGAAAGUUAGGGGAUCGAAGACGAUCAGAUACCGUCGUAGUCUUAACCAUAAACUAUGCCGACUUGGGAUCAGGGGGGGUGAUUUUAGCCCUCUUGGCACCAUAUGAGAAAUCAAAGUUUUUGGGUUCUGGGGGGAGUAUGGUCGCAAGGCUGAAACUUAAAGGAAUUGACGGAAGGGCACCACCAGGAGUGGAGCCUGCGGCUUAAUUUGACUCAACACGGGGAAACUCCCCAGGUCCAGACAUAGUAAGGAUGGACAGAUUGAGAGCUCU
rnacentral:rRNA from 1 species